AAAAGAAGCUGGGGGAGCCUGUAGCGACAGGCUGAGAGUGCGAUGUUAUUGCUUACCCCUAUGACCUGAUUUGGUUAAUGCCAACGUAGGGAUGUUUCUGCUGAAUUUU
rnacentral:ncRNA from 2 species